AGUGUCUGCCUCCCACACACAAACCCAGCGAGUCCUCUGCUGAAUGCAUGUGGUUCAGCCAGAAACCCUACUGAGAAAUGCUAAAUAAUUACUAUCUGCUGCUUCUGGUCCACUGAAAAAUGUCAGUGUUUUCUAGGUUUGCAUUGGUCCGAAGAAGGCCUGGUCCUGAGAUGAUGAUCUUCCAGUACCUGCUGCUUUCACUCUGAAGUGAAGGUGAAGCUAAAGGUCACAGUCCACAGAUCCCUAUUGGACAGAAAGUACUGAUGCCCUUCUACCUAAUUCCAGACGCUUAACUGAGAAUUUUACAUGAGUCUCCAGAGAGUAUGUGAGUUUGGAUAGUAACAAUAAGGACCCAAUUCUGCCUGGAGAAGCAGAAUUAAUGUUGACUCACUGGUUCAGCUUUGCUGCUUACCUCAUUCCUGUUUAUGAGAGUUUUAAUUGCACUUGCAGUGAUUAAUUUCACGCAGGAAUUAUCUUGGUGUAGAAAGCAAAGGUAUUUUUACCCUUUUCCUUUGAAGACUGAGCAUGUUUUCAUUUGAUGAGCUGAAGUUUCCAGAUGCAUGAGGUGUCCCCCUGUGGCCCACGAGGACUAGCACUGGAGACUGCAAUUACUGCAGCAGAAAACCCUUGUUGCAGCCAGGCUGGGAAAAAGGGAGAGGGUUCAUUGCAAUAUAUAACACUUGACCCAAGAGGACCAGGUGUGGAGAUUGUAAUGGAUCAGCCUUUGAAUUUUUGUAACUCAUGUUUGAGUUGAACAUUGCAGGAAUUGCUGUAGUAGGAAUCAGCUGCACCAAUGGAGAACAAGCCUAAAGCAGUGCAAGUGCAGCAGUGACCCACCCUGGGCUGGUUUUGGUGCCCAGUAACUCCAUGUAACACACACCUCUCCUGUGGUGGUGCUGAGUGACCACCAGAACAAAGGGAGCCCAAAGUCAAGGACUAAAUGAACCCUAUGGAUAUUUAUGGACACUUUGCAGGUGUGGUCCACAGACAAAGGGAAUGGCAUGUAUGAUAUCAAGGGAAAGGAAGUGGGGAGGUGAUUAAUGGGAUUGUACUGAAAAGUGUGAGACCUGAGUGUGAUGUAAGUGGUAUGGAAUAAGGGGGUGGAUAAUGUGCUGGUUUGGGCUGGGGUAGAUUUGUUUUUCCCCUGCAGCUUGAAUUCCACCGAGUAACAUCUCUGGAUACUGUUAGCAUGGACUAACUCUUCUUCCAUGUGGCUGAUGAGCACUGGCCAGUUACAAUGCUGGGUACUCUAGUACAGUUUACUACUGGUAGCAAAUCCAUAAACAAAAAUUUUAAGGAAGGGUUAGCAAUAGGAUCAAAAUAUAUCACAUUACUGGUCCAAACAGGUAAAAACACCAUCUAACUUAUUGAGUUAGAAUACCAAAAAUACUGGUUUUAAUUGUCAAUGUAUUUGUUUUCAGAAAACAUAAAAGGGUGAAUAUGGCCUUGAUAUCCCCUUUUGCCCUCAGUUUCUGAAGCUGCCCUGAGUAGGCUAAAGUGCUUGUGUGUGAGAGGAAAUGGAUGACAAAUAAUUACAGCUAUAGGAAACUGAAGACAAAAGAGGCAAAAAAAGGACUUUUAUUUCUAACAGUCCUUGAAUUUCUGACUGUAUGUAAUGGCACUAGGAGAGAUAAGCGAGCUAUAGAGGCAUCUCCAUUGGGAUACUGGAAUUGAAAUGCUAUUGUUUGGAAUACAAGCUCCUGGACAGGCUUCAGUUUGCUCACCAUAUUUGGUUUCAGUGACUUUUUCUAGCAAAGAGUGGUGCCCUUCUGAAGGUACAGAGCAUGACAUCAAGUAUAAUUCAAAGUGAUGGGAAGAAGAUGUUCUUUAUGGUAUAUAAUAAAUAACAGGACUAUGCCUGGCUCUAUUGUGGAUAGUUAUAUUUAUGAUCCAGUAGAUGUCCCUGACAUGUAUGUUUGUGGGGUAUUUUUUUGGAGGAAGCAAUUUUUUACCUAAAUGGAAAUUACUCUUACUGGAUAAUACUGAAGGAAAAAUAGAAAUGAAGUUUCCUUUUUUAUUCUUCAUUAGAUAAAGCAUCUUAUAGCUGAGCAUUUCUUAGCUGGAAAGGAGAUUCUUAAAGUUUUAAGCUCCUGAGGAAAGUAAUUAAAAAUAUUGUUUAACAUGAAGUGUGUGAGUUGCAUUUUGAAUUCUGUAGGUUUACCUGAAUUUGUAUAUUUAUUUAAGUGCAUGUUUGGACUGGGACCAAAGCUCUGUGGGGAAGGAUUUGUUGCUUUCUUUUGUUGCUAUUACUGCAGUGAAAAUAUUAAGUAGUAGUAAUUAUUGUGCUGUUUCACGGUCAUUAUCAAAAUAAAACUUUAUGUAGCUUGUUGACUGCUUUGGUUAAAAAGCAUC